CGCCUUCUGCGGUGCUCGUUAGCGGUUAAGAUCUCCUUGAGCCUAAUAUUUGUCCCCGGGAGCUGGUUUGCAGGACCAGUGUGCAUGUCCGCCACGUGUGGAAAGCCUUAGGUCAGGCACUCGCCCCCACCUGAACCUCUGGUUCAAGGGCAAACAUUGCGACGGUACAUGCGGAAGGCGC
rnacentral:other from 1 species